rnacentral:lncRNA from 13 species
CAUGCCUUAAACACCUGAAUGGUAUUGCCUAGGUUUUCUUCUGGGUUUUUUUUUUUCUAGGCUUAAACGUGUAUUUAAAAUUUCAUAGUAAACAAAUACUUGUAAGUGAUGCUUUUCCCAUAUUUCCACAUAAGAUAAUGUUGAACAGACCUCAUAAUGAUUUUAUAUUUGAUCUCUUUUUGGUAAAUAUAGGUGUGAAAACUGAGUUAUAUACUCUUCUUUUCAAAAAUUCUCCCCUUAAUGAGCACUUGUUUUUGAUCCUGUCAAGACAUUUUCCAUACUGAGGGAGCAGUGCCCAAGAAGAUACCUGAGAAGACAAGCGUGCCCUCCCCUUAUUAUCUCCCUUUUUUUCUUUGAGGUGUUAAGAUCAAGAUAUAAGUUAUGUUAAGGUCUCAAAAUAAUCCUUUCACAAAAAUAAGACAGUUUUAUGUUGUAAAAACGGUAGUUAUUUGUCAAAGGUUAUGUUCUUCGGUCUUCUUCCAUCACCAGCUGUCAGCAUCUCCUAAAGAUCGUUUUUUUCUUCAUGAUGACACCUGCAUGCGGCUCGCUGGCUGUCCGGAUAUGGAUUACAACCUAAAUGUACAACACUGUCAACCAGGAGCUCCACUGCUGUUUCACAGGCCUGAGCAUGCUGAGUACAUCUCGGCAGAUCCUGGAGAGGCAAUACUGGAACUCCUCGUCGCUGUCAUUCUUGCUUUUGCCACAGGUCUCCUAGCACCUAUCGUGUUGGUUGCAGCUUUUUGUCAGGGAAGGGAUCUCCAUGUUAAGAUGAACACCAAACAGUGGAGAGCCACAUCCAUUCGGUGUGGAGGGUUUAUAACCCCAACGUGGGAAAGGCUUAGAUCCGCCACUGCAUUCAUACUGGCAGAGACCGUCCUUGCCUCCCAGGAGGUCCAAGGCGGCGUUCAGGCUGAUCUUACGGAAACAGUGGAAACUGCAUCUUCAGACGGUCUACAUGUGGAUGAAGAGAUUAAAGUUCUUCAACAGGCAUUAUGAUCUCUAAAAACAAUGGAAAACAAACAUGAAACACCGCAGAAGGAUGAGGAGGAGUUGGAAGAACUAGUAAACUUCAAAGGUUACAUGGAAAUGAAUAUGUUAGAACAUAGUCCAUUGAAACGCUGUAAACAGGAGGAUGAAGAAAGAGCAAGUCAGGAGACAGCAGAAGAAUUAGAAAAACUCCGUCAAUUUAUACAGGUUAGUUUGUUUAUCUGUAAUGUGCCUUCAUUCAUUACACUGC